AUGAUAUAUAAAAAAUUUUUUACCGGGUAUUGAUUUAUGAAUUGCAACAAUUCAUAAUUCGGGCCCCUAAAAAUCAUAAUCCGGCCCUGGCGAGGCGCGAAGAAGCCAAAACGAGCAAUCGAGCGAGCAUGCAAUCAAGAGAAAGUAGACACAUAUGUGUGGCGACAUGUAUGUACAAUACUUUCACACACAUGAACAGACGAAAAUAAUGCUGCCGUGCUAACAGAUUGUGGCGCCAUCUCUCGUAAGAUCCGGCAUCUACUUUUGUACGAAUUACUGCUCUUUUUUAUCAUCUCCAUCUGUAUUUGAGGCUAAAGUGGAAAAGUUUAAUAAUAGCCAAAAAUGGUUUGGCUGACUGGGAUAGAUUCUCUUUGUAAUUGGUAACCCAGUGAGCAUUGUGAUAUCAAAAAGAGCUCUUCAAGUAAUCAGGUUUGAGAGUUGGACUUCUGACAAUGCCAUCUUGAAGAUAACAUAAUGUCAAUAAGCUCUCUAAUGCGUCAAUAUUUGAUACAAAAAAGACAUCACAUAAAUGACAUCUAAAGGAAUACAAGAAUUUGAUAUCUUAUAAAUGUCAAGAAAAUGUUAACAUUAAGAAUUGCUAUUUACUAGUACUAUUUAUAUGAAAAAAGAUAAAAUAACCGAAUAUAUGUAUUACAUAUAUAAAAUUUUAUUACACGUACAUAUAGAAUAUAAUAUUAUAAUAUUAUAAAAUCAUUUUAGAAAUUACAUUUUAAUAAUACAAAAAUAAUUUUUUUAUAACAUACAAAACUAUAAUUUCAAAAAUAAUAGAAAAUACUGAAUUGGUGUAUGUAUACGACUCACAUAUAUACAUACAAAAAAUGAACAUGUUAUAUUAAAAUUUUAAUUUAAUUUGAAUAUAUUGCCAUAUUGCACACA